CCCGCUUCUCAGCCUUUUGGCUAAGAUCAAGGUAGUAUCUGUUCUCAUCACUUUAAUAUCUGGCAUUUCCUCUGUCUGAGAACAAUACAUUGAAUGGAUCUUUGGAACAUGGAGUCAGGUUAGGAGCUUGCUCUGUCUAUUCUACAUAUUGACUUGGUGUUGUAGUACUUCCAGGAAUGGUGCACCUUCC